GAUGAACGCUGGCGGCGUGCCUAAUACAUGCAAGUCGAGCGAACGGACGAGAAGCUUGCUUCUCUGAUGUUAGCGGCGGACGGGUGAGUAACACGUGGAUAACCUACCUAUAAGACUGGGAUAACUUCGGGAAACCGGAGCUAAUACCGGAUGAUAUUUUGAACCGCAUGGUUCAAAAGUGAAAGACGGUCUUGCUGUCACUUAUAGAUGGAUCCGCGCUGCAUUAGCUAGUUGGUAAGGUAACGGCUUACCAAGGCAACGAUGCAUAGCCGACCUGAGAGGGUGAUCGGCCACACUGGAACUGAGACACGGGCCAGACUCCUACGGGAGGCAGCAGUAGGGAAUCUUGCGCAAUGGGCGAAAGCCUGACGGAGCAACGCCGCGUGAGUGAUGAAGGUCUUCGGGUCGUAAAACUCUGUUAUUAGGGAAGAACAGAUGUGUAAGUAUCUGUGCACAUCUUGACGGUACCGAAUCAGAAAGCCACGGCUAACUACGUG
rnacentral:rRNA from 1 species